rnacentral:rRNA from 1 species
UACGUAGGGUGCGAGCGUUGUCCGGAAUUAUUGGGCGUAAAGCGUGCGUUAGACGGUUGAUUUAAGAUCCGGGUGGUGAAAGCCCCGGGCUCAACCUGGGAAUUGCAUUCGAGACUGAAUAGCUAGGGUACGGUAGAGGGAAGCGGAAUUUCCGGUGUAGCGGUGAAAUGCGUAGAUAUCGUGAGGAACACCAGAGGCGAAGGCGGCUACCUGGACAAUUGCUGACGCUCAGGCACGAA